AUGUGAAAAGUGAACAGUCCGCGUGAUUCCGUAACUUUCAUCAUGGUGAAAAUGUGAGCCAUCUCACGGGAAUUCGUUCGGCAAGAAAUUUCUUGUCGAAUGGUGAAAUCCGAGAGAGAAAGACUGAGAAAUAGAGCAAGAGAAAUCAUCUCUGCGACGCCGGUGACGCGUUUUAGUGUGGGAUAGUUAAGAAUUUUAGGUUAACUACUGUUUUGCACAAAUUUUUGAAAGUCCGAAGGAAAAAGCUGAUAGAAAUGGAUCUACAUGGCUGCAAUCUUAUUACUUGAUGAAGAGGAUGAGGCUUUUGAGCCUCAUAAUCAAGUAAUGAGGAUUACGUGAAGAAUACUUCGAGAUGUAUCGGACCCAUUUUCUAUUUCGGAUAAUGAAUUUCGCAAGUUGUACAGACUGACAAAGGAUACGACUCGAAUGCUAAUUCGAGAAUUGGUGCCAUUCAUGCGUCAGAUAUCACGAAGAACUGCAAUAUCUCAUGAAUUACAGAUACUGGCAUCAUUAAAUUUCUUCGCAGCAGGGUCAUAUCAACGAAGAGUUGGGCAAGAAUUUUUGACGUGCAUGUCACAAACAUCUUUAAGUCGUUCUCUUCAUGGCACUGUUAACGCUCUGAAUUGUGCAAUGAACAAUUGGAUUCGUUUCCCAGUAACUGCUGGCAGAAUUCAAGAAAUCAAACAAGGAUUUUUCAUAAAUGGUGGUUUUCCAGGCGUUAUUGGAGCAAUAGAUGGUACACAUGUUGCCAUUGUUCCACCCGAAGCUGAGAGGGAAUAUUUAUUUCUAAACAGAAAGUUAUCAUUCACUAAAUGUGUUGGUUAUGUAAUUUCAGAUUUGUGGUUCCAACUGCGAAAUUCUCGCGGUAAAUAGUGCUCAUGGUGGCCGAACACAUGAUGCUCGAGUGUUACGAUCAUCGAGAAUAUUUGCUCAUUUAGAACGGAGACACAGAGAAGGUGAAAUUGAUAGCUGGCUUCUAGGUGAUUCUGCAUACCCACUUUUACCUUUUUUGCUGACACCAAAAUUAAAUCAAGAAGAAGGAACUCCAGGUGCAAGGUACACAGAUCAUCAUUGUCAGACUCGUGUGGCUGUUGAUGUUUCGGCAUUUUAAAAGGUCGCUGGCGUUGCUUACGGAAAGAACGAGCUUUACAUUAUCGUCCACAAUUCGCUGCUCUAAUUGUCAACGCUUGUUGCGUUCUGCAUAACAUGGCAAUCAGAUGGGGAAUUCCUUGUGAUGAAAUACAUCGCGAUGAACUAGACGUUGCACCACCGAUAGCAUAUGAUAGUAUUGAUGAAGAACGUGGAGAACAAACACGAAAUCGAGUGAUUCAGUGGUAUUUUACUUAAUCGAGUGAUUCAAUGGUAUUUUACUUAAUCGAGUGAUCAAUUACUCUUUAAUUCAAUAUUAAUUGUCAAUAUUAAAAAUGGUACAUUUCAAUUGUAUAUAAGAAACAAUAUCUGUAAGAAAAUUUAUUUUUAUUUAUAUAAAAUGUUUACAUAAAAUGUUUAAACAAGAACAUGUGUACUUUAUUCUAAAUAAAUUGGAGCAAUGGUUUGAACAAUA